rnacentral:rRNA from 1 species
CCUACGGGGGGCUGCAGUCGAGAAUCAUUCACAAUGGGGGAAACCCUGAUGGUGCGACGCCGCGUGGGGGAAUGAAGGUCUUCGGAUUGUAAACCCCUGUCAUGUGGGAGCAAAUUAAAAAGAUAGUACCACAAGAGGAAGAGACGGCUAACUCUGUGCCAGCAGCCGCGGUAAUACAGAGGUCUCAAGCGUUGUUCGGAAUCACUGGGCGUAAAGCGUGCGUAGGCUGUUUCGUAAGUCGUGUGUGAAAGGCGCGGGCUCAACCCGCGGACGGCACAUGAUACUGCGAGACUAGAGUAAGGGAGGGGGAACCGGAAUUCUAGGUGUAGCAGUGAAAUGCGUAGAUAUCGAGAGGAACACUCGUGGCGAAGGCGGGUUCCUGGACAUUAACUGACGCUGAGGCACGAAGGCCAGGGGAGCGAAAGGGAUUAGAUACCCUGGUAGUC